GGGAGUGCAUUCUGACGAAGAACAGCAAAGGUAAUAACAUUUUUCUCCGGUGACACCUGGAGGGGGUGGAGACAAUAACGAGGACAGGUGAAACUGAUCAGGGUGUGACGAGUAGAGAUUUAUGUUCGCCUGAAGAAAUACUUACUACAUGUCAAGACUCAAAAAUUACUGCACACUCACAAAUACGGCGCGUCCCCACAUGGAUGACUUUUCUCCCUCUCACACCAAAAUCCAUUUUCUCUCGCAACUGCUUACUAUACUUUUAUGACAAGGGGAAAUUCUAGCCAAUGAACAUAGCCUGUAGCAGUUUACUGAAACUCAAUUGGUCAGGUUUUCGGACCAAACACUGUUUGACAGCUCUCUAACCGGAUUUUUGCCCAUUGAGAUGAAAGGGGACGGUGAAAGGUGAGCGAUCACUGACAAUAAUAAAGAGGUAAGUUCAACAGUUUUUCAGUAGAGAAACUAGAUAACCAACUAGCUAGCUAAUCAACUAUGAUUUCAAUAUUGAAAUUAUAGUAAGUAGUUAUUUGGACUUCUGUUAUUAAAGCAAGCUAUUGAUGAGGAAAGGUAGCCGAACGUCAAUUAGGUAGGAAGCUAACUAGCUAACGUUAGCUAGCUAACUAACGUUAUACAAAAUGAAUUAGCUAGCUAAUGUUACAUCUUGUGGUUUAAGCAAACCCAAGGUGGUUUCAUUUUCUAUACAGUCUCUGGUUUAACUAAGAGCAUUGUACCUAAGUUGAGAGGGGAUUUUAGUAGAGGAGGAGGACUUGAAAGGCCAGCAUGAAUGGGUGGCAGAAGAGGGGGGAGGCAGGUUGAGAACGGACAGGGAAGACCCUCAUUGUGGAAGAGGUCAGUGAUUGAAGUGGAGGGGGUGCCAAGAGAGGUCAGGCUCUGAACCAAAUAAUAGCCAGUAUAGUAAACUGCUAACAGCAUACGUUGAGCUACAAUCUGAUUGAAAUAAAUGUUUGAUAAUUUUUCUUGUACAGUUACAAUAAAUGAGAAUAACCUGAAACCAUGUCUCUCUCUACAUCCCUCUUUCCAUGCAGGUUCACUGUCACUAAUAUGCAGUGGCGAUAUUAGCAUGUAAAUCUUGGUGAAGCAAAAAAAAAUAUUAAAAUGUUGAUGCAUGCCAACAAAGCCACUACACAACACUAAACAAUACAUUAAUUGCACUAUAAUGGUGACAAACGGUGCCCACUUACUGUUAGGGCUUACACAAAUUUGUCCCAACAGCAGAGCUUUCUUUUCAGCACUGUGGAAUGAUCCUUGCCACCGCUACACCUGGCUAUCAGCGGAGCCUUGUCUGGCAGUGAAAUAGUUCAUUCAGCCUCAUUUACUGUCUUUUUAAAAAACAUAGCUGACUUCCUUAAACAAAUGUGGUUUCUAUUGACAAUUGAGAUGUACAAACUAUGGCAUAAGGGAACAAUAACACGCUAUCCAUAAUUUUGAUUAAGAUAUUAAUGAGCGAGCUAGGACAGAUGUAAUAAAUAUAACUAUGUGUUAAGCACUUUUGAAAUGUACAGCGACAGAAUUCAGAACAUGGGCCGUUCUUACAAUAUUAUCCCUGUACACCAAGUCAGAACCAUUGGAUAAAUAAACAUGGCAUAUAAGCAGACAAUAAAAGCUCUUACAAUAUUCAAUGAUUACAUUUCUCUAAAAAAGGCUAUAGGCUACAUGUGCACCAUCAAGUCAGAACAGUUCGCUAAGUUAUAAGGGAGGAAUGGGAUCAAAUUAUUAGGAUGAGGCACAUGGGCUAUUAACAGCUUACUACACAACAUACAGUUAGUAUUACUUUCUUGGCUGCAGUAUACAUAUCUCCCUGGUAUAUUACAUAAUUAAUGCAGCGGCAUACAAUACCUUUUUGGACUCACCUUGUUGUGCUGUGCUCACCUGAACAGGAAGGUAGUGUGCCGGUCCUUCUUGUGGGCUCUAAAAAAAGGCAGAAAUCCCGACUUGGAAUUCUGAGUUGGAUGACCGUUCAAAAUUAUUUUCAGUAUUUUCCCAGCCAGAGCUAGUUUUAUCCGAGUUCCCAGUUGUCUUGAACUUACUGAAGUCAGAGAUUUCCCAGUUCCGAGUUUCCAGUUGUUUUGAACGCAGCAGAAGUCAUGUUGGAUUGACAGGAUGGCCAAUGUCUUCAAAUUUUUCUAGCCCACCUCAUGGGUCUCCCAGUCACCGCUGGCUGUAACACAGCCUAGGAUCAAAUCCGGGGCUGAAGUGGCGCCUUAGCACUCAUUGUUGAAUUUGCAAUUUCCAACUUGUUGUGUAAUGUUUAUGGCCGAUGAGCACCAAUACGUUUUAUCUAUAAUCUCUUCAUAUAACAAGGAUUGAAAAGGAUUUGCCAGUAGAUUGUCGACUUGAUGCAUGAUGAUGAUUGCUUGUCUAGCUUGCUAGCUAAGAUUUUGAAAGUAAAAUAUUGAAAUGAUCAGUCCAAUCAAAGCGGCGGUAAAUAUAAUGUGAUUUGGUUUCAUUUUAUCUGUGGCCAAUGAUGGGCACUUCUAAUAUAAGUCUAUGGCUUGAAUUUUUGAGCUCUGCCCAUAGAUUUUGCGGCAAUGUAGUGUCCCCAUGAGUGACAGAACACUAAGCCAAUCACAGUGCAACUAGAGAACAUUACCAACCCCUAUGUUCCGUAUUUUCUGUUUGUAUGUGGCUUUAACUCAAUUAUUAUUUUUUUAAUAUAUUUUUUUACAUUGUUUGCAAACUGAUAUGUGACACAUAUUAAUGCCAAAAUAACAUGCAAAACAGGUGGGGCUCAAAACUUGGGAGGCUCUGCCCCAUCUGCCCUGAAUGACGCGUUGCCACUGCUAAUAUGUGGUGGUGAAGUUGUUCUCUGCUCAGCUGACAGAAACAGGAGAUACAGGAGUCCAUUCUGUUCCAAGUAGGGUACCUUGGCUCCCCUCUAUGUACAGCACUCUGGGGACUUUCUGCAGGUAACCAUGACAUCCACCAAUCGCCCAUGUAACUUAAUCAUUAGUGGUACUGAGUUCCUCUUAUUUCUUUGACGCUGUAUGAAGGCAUUGUGCAUAAGACAAUUGUCAUGUAGAGAGGAUCAUGACCAGCUGCUAUCUAUUGGUUAGAACGAUUGUUCUAUACUGAAUGUAUGUGAUAGUCAUUGCUAAACAAUAUAAGUGGUGUAGGUAAGGGAUGAAGUGAAAACGUAUAGGAGGAUAGCUCUCUACUACGAGGUGGGUUGGGCAUGAAAUGACAGCAGGCAUGCUGACUGACAAGUGGCGUGGAUUGGUACAGGGCAAUUCCACAGUAGCAGAGUGAAGCUAAGACUCAGAUUGUGCAUAGAGUUGUAUGGUUUGUUCCACUUUGAAAUCAUUGGUUUUUGUUUGACAUACAUUUUAAAGUGAAAAAUCGGAGUGUCAGCAUCCCUCUGUUACUGUAGUAUUGCCCUACAGCUCGGCUCAGUCCAGUCCCACAUCGUGUGUUUUAAAUUAUUUGGCUAAAUGAUUAUCCAUAGUUGCCUCUUUUGAUAUAGCCACAGCAGUCUUAAAAUAAACUGUUACCUUGAAUGAAACAUUAAGAUGUUAAAACAUUUCAACUCCAAUUGAACUUUGUCUGUGACAUCUUAUUGUCCUCUCUCUCACUACAGUUGUUCUCAAGAGACAGGUCAGUGUGUGCAAAGAGAACACAUUUGACCAGGUGGAGUCAAGCUUCUACCUACGUACUUCAUCGCCCUGGACCUCUACACCAGCGAGGCAGAGGACACCAAGUUUGGACCAAUUAUGCUAAUGCCCCGCUUUAAGAACCUGGAGAUCUUCACUGGUUCUGAGGGAGGUGACUUGGCCACAAACAGUACCUGGGACACCUUCCAUCGCUACCACUUUCUGAAAAACAGCCACAGGGUGGUCAAGACAUCUGCUGCAACUUCAUCUUUAGUGUGUCAGCUCUGCUGCACCUGGGAGCUAAAGUAAAACGCUGAGGGAUUGGGCUGGAGAAAUGUAGCCACUCUCAAAUUCAUAGAGAGAGAUGGUUCUGGCAUGCUAAUAACAUCUGAUCUGAUGAGACUCCCUAUGCGAUUUGACUCCUGAAUUACUGACUGUAUGCAAUACAACUUCCAAUGCCAAAUUGAAAUAAUUUGGGAUUCUGUAAUUGACAGACAAUGAUAGUUCCCAAUCAGACAAUCACUAUAAAACAAAUCUGUUUUCCUCAGUGAAAUGUUUGGUGAAUGUGUUGUUUUGUCCUCAGUCCUCCUUUGAAUGCUGUGUGUACUGAUUCAGUUCUAAACGACCAUCAUUGAGUCCAUCCUCACCUCCUCCAUCACUGCAAUGGAUUGUCCAGUCUGCUGAGAGGUUCAUUGGGUGCCACCUGCCCUCCAGUUUCUUCCGUGGCCCUCACCAAUCGGCCACCUGGUCUGCGAUUAUCCUGUCAUCCAUGGAUUUUGCACUAUUCAUCCACAGACUAUGCACCCUGCAUGAUCAUCCCAGAACUGCAAAUUUUAUAAUGUAGCUUAAAGUGUUCAUAGUGUACAUACUGUAUGUGGGUCUGUAGACAAUCUGCAUCUAUAUCUUUUUUUUGUCUGUAUAUUCUGUUUAUCGUCUGUCUGUAUAUUCUGUUUAUUGUUGCAGCACUAUUUCAUAGAGUCCUGUACAUGCACAUGUAUUUGCAGAAUAAAGCUGAUUCUGACAUGUUAACCUAGUUUAGCUGGUUAAUCCUAUGUCAGUUUACAAUUUAUUA